GUUUUAAUAGUUUAAAAAAAACACUGGUCUUGUAAACCAGAAAUAAGGAUGUGCCCCCACUUUUAAGACU
rnacentral:tRNA from 1 species